rnacentral:sRNA from 1 species
UGUGAAGAGACGGAUGAAACUAACUGA